rnacentral:rRNA from 1 species
CAGCCUACCAUGCAAGUCGAAGCGGUCGCACCGGGAGCUUGCUCCUGCUUUCAUCAGCAGGACGGGUGAGUAAUGCCUAUGAAUCUGCCUGGUACUGGGGGACAACGAUCAGAAACGGACGCUAAUACCGCUUACGUCCUACGGGACAAAAUGGGGGAUCUUGAGACCUCGCCCUAUCACAUGAGCAUAUGUCCGAAUAGCUUUUUGGUGAGGUAAAGGCACCCCCUCGCCACGAUCCCUAUCUGGUCUGAGACGAAGAUGAUUCCCACUGACACUGAAACUCAGACCAGACUCCUACUGGAGGCAGAAGUGGGGAAUAUUAAACUAUGGGCAAGAGCCUGAUCCUGCCGUGCCCCUUGUGUGAAUAAGGUCAUCGGAUUGUAAAGCUCUUUUACUUGGGACGAAGGGCAAUGAGUUAAUACCUUGCUGUUUUGACAUUACCGACACAAUAAGCACCGGCUAACUCUGUGCCAGCACCCGCGGUAAUACAAAUGGUGAAGGCGUUAAUCUGAAUUACUNUGCGUAAACCGCGCGUACGUGGUUGCGCAAGUUGGAUGUGAAAGCCCCGGGCUCAACCUGGGAACUGCAUCGAAAACUGAAGCAGCUAGAGUAUGGUAUAGGGUGGUGGAAUUUCCUGUGUAGCGGAGAAAUGCGUAUGAUAUAGAGAUCGAACACCAAUNNNCGAAGGCGACCACCUGCCACUGAUACUGACACUGACGGUGCGAAAGCGUGAGCGAGCAAACGCGAUUAGAUACCCUGGUAUUCCACGCCGUACACGAUGUCAACUAGCCGUUGANAUCCUUGCACAUCUUAGUGGCCUACCUAACGCAAUACGUUGACUGCAUGGCGAGUACGAGUCGCGAGGUUAAGACUCAAAUGAAUUGACUGGAGCCCGCACCAGCCGAUGCAGCAUGUGGUUUAGUUCAAAUCAACGCAAAGAAACUUAACCUGGCC